UACGUAGGGGGCAAACGUUGCUCGGAAUUACUGGGCGUAAAGGGUGAGUAGGCGGCUGUGCAAGUCAGGGAUGAAAUCCCGCGGCUUAACCGCGGAACUGUCUUUGAAACUGCACGGCUUGAGGACAGUAGAAGAGAAUGGAAUUCCCGGUGGAGCGGUGAAAUGCGUAGAUAUCGGGAGGAACACCUGAGGCGAAAGCGAUUCUCUAUGCUGCUCCUGACGCUGAGUCACGAAAGCCAGGGGAGCAAACGGG
rnacentral:rRNA from 1 species